AUACUACAACUUACCACAACCCUUCACUCUUUACGUUAAGGAACUGUAUAAACAGGGUGGACAAGACUUCGAUCAGGGCGCUGGACCUCGGAUCCCAUUAGUCCGAGGUGCGGAGUCAAGCAAGGAGAUCCUUUGUCGCCCAUCUGUUUAAUCUAGUUAUUAAUAGAAUGAUUGAGACCACUCCAACCUGAGAUCGGGGUAAAGAUUGAAGGCAUGACUUAUAAUGUUCUGGCUUUUGCUGACGAUUUGGUUUUAGUGGCAGCGUCAGUAAAAGGAUUGCAGACAUUACUCAGUCAUGCUGAGAAUUUUCUCGCAAGUUGUGGCCUGAGGAUUAACACGAACAAGUCCUUCACGGUAGCGAUUAAGAACGUGCCGCAUGUGAAGAAGUCAUUUGUCGAUAAGGAUAUUAUCUUCAAAUGUGGGACGCAAACACUACCUGCAAAGUCAAGGGUCGACGGCUGGACUUACUUGGGGGUGGAAUUCACUCCCGAGGGUGCCAAUAUUGGUGAUCUUAAAGCGAAACUCCAGUCAACUAUUGAUAAAAUAACCAAAGCACCAUUGAAACCACAACAACGGUUAUUUGCGCUAAGAACCAUUGGCAUUCCUAAGUUAAUGCAUCAAUUAACAUUAGGUAAUGCCAAACUAGGAUUUCUGAAGUCGCUCGAUGGUGUAGUCAGAAAGGCAGUUCGUUCAUGGCUGCGACUACCUAAUGAUACUACUAAUGCAUAUUUUUAUGCAAAUAGUAAAGAUGGGGGCCUAUCUUUCCCAUCAUUAAGGUGGUUAGUUCCUCUUAGGAGGAAAAUUAGACUGGUUAAGUUGAACUGGGGUGAAUCCAGCUUCCACCAACUGGAGAUUGAAAAAUGUGACAAGAAACUAAUGGAGAAUAACAUCGUCCUUGCCUCUCAGGAGCAACUGGAUGAACGAUGGGCUCGGCUACUGCACAAGUCAGUGGACGGGUCCCCAUUGGUAAAAUCAUCCAAAGUACCAUCACAACAUCGGUGGGUGACUGAAGGCAACAAGUUCCUGACAGGGAAAGAUUACGUGAAUUGCAUUAAGUUCAGAAUCAAUGCAAUGCCUACGAGAUCCCGAACAACCAGAGGUAGAACAGAGGACAGGAACUGUAGGGCCGGUUGUAAUGCUCCAGAGACGUUAGACCACGUCCUACAAACUUGUCACCGUAGCCAUCGUCAACGAAUAGAACGACACAAUGCAGUCUGUAACUACGUCAAAAGAGCGUUGGAGAAAUCACACUCUCGUGUUGAUUGGGAGCCAACCUUCAAAACACCUGAAGGCACUCGGAAACCGGAUUUGAUCGCGUCACAGGGUCAGAAAGCAAUUGUACUGGACGCCCAAAUUGUAGGAAGCUCUACUAAUAUGGCCGGAGCCCACAGACGGAAGAUCGAGCAUUAUAAAAAUCUGGAGGACGUAGUGAAACUGAAAUACAAUGUGUCAACAGUGGUUUAUAACACAAUUACCCUCAACAUCAGGGGAGUCUGGCACGAAGAAUCGGCGAAUUUUCUAGUGUCGGAGAAGAUAUUAAACAAGAAUGAAUUGAAGGUAAUCUCUACCAGAGCGAUAAUCGGAGGACUAAACGGAUUUGCGAAAUGGUCAAAAACAACGACUACAAGACACGAGCCACAAGGAAUCGGAUGACCACCUGAAUUGCACGCGUGCUGCCUGCGCACAACAUCCCCCAGGCACAAUACUAGGAGUUAGGUUUAGUGGGUAUUGCCUUCGGGCCGAGUCCCACACUAUUGGUCAACCUGGCGACCAUUGUACAUAAAUGUAUUCCCCUCCUAGCCAAAAAAAAAAAAAAAAAAAAAAAAAAAAAAAAAAAAAAAAAAAAAUAGCCAAAUGCCUCGUCAUCUAAUUAGUGACGCGCAUGAAUGGAUUAACGAGAUUCCCACUGUCCCUAUCUACUUUCUAGCGAAACCACUGCCAAGGGAACGGGCUUGGAAAAAUUAGCGGGGAAAGAAGACCCUGUUGAGCUUGACUCUAGUCUGGCAUUGUAAGGAGACAUGAGAGGUGUAGCAUAAGUGGGAGAUAGCAAUAUCGUCGGUGAAAUACCACUACUUUCAUCGUUUCUUUACUUACUCGAUUGGGCGGAAAGCGUGCGUCGAGAACUUUCGUUCCGACUGUCACGGUUUUCUAGAGCCAAGCGUGUAAGAGUGGUGUGAGGCUUCGCGCCGAUCGCCAACUAUACUCUAGCGUGAUCCGAUUCGAGGAAAUUGCUAGGCCGGGAGUUUGACUGGGGCGGUACAUCUGUCAAAUAAUAACGCAGGUGUCCUAAGGCCAGCUCAGCGAGGACAGAAACCUCGCGUAGAGCAAAAGGGCAAAUGCUGGCUUGAUCCCGUUGUUCAGUGUGCACAGGGACUGCGAAAGCACGGCCUAUCGAUCCUUUUGGCUUGAAGAGUUUUCAGCAAGAGGUGUCAGAAAAGUUACCACAGGGAUAACUGGCUUGUGGCAGCCAAGCGUUCAUAGCGACGUUGCUUUUUGAUCCUUCGAUGUCGGCUCUUCCUAUCAUUGCGAAGCAGAAUUCGCCAAGCGUUGGAUUGUUCACCCACAAAUAGGGAACGUGAGCUGGGUUUAGACCGUCGUGAGACAGGUUAGUUUUACCCUACUGAUGAAUCGUCGUUGCGAUAGUAAUCCUGCUCAGUACGAGAGGAACCGCAGGUUCGGACAUUUGGUUCACGCACUCGGUCGAGCGGCCGGUGGUGCGAAGCUACCAUCCGUGGGAUUAUGCCUGAACGCCUCUAAGGCCGUAUCCUUUCUAGACAAAGUAAGCAACGAUAUCUCUAGGAGUCUCGUGAGUCGAAAGGCUCAAUACAAUGUGAUUUAUUAGGUAUUCGGCACACGCCGUUUAUCGCACGAGCCAUUUUUAGCCGAAUGAGGCGCUG
rnacentral:rRNA from 1 species